rnacentral:lncRNA from 10 species
CUUACAGUAUAAUUGGACAGGAGACAGUUACUUUAGCAAAUAAUUUUAUGAGAUGCUAAGAUAUGCCAAUGUGAUUAUUAUGAAACUCUUUUAAUUUAGUUUUUUUCAAUUAAAUGAAGAAAAUACUUAUUAAGUGCCGACAGACAGUGUGCAAAGGAACUGGAGUUGCAGAAAUAACCAAGCUCUGAAAAAGCAGCAUACUACAUAGGAAACAGUGCAACGAGGAGAGACAUAUUGAUGCUUGCAGACUUGGCAUUUUCACAAACACAAAACUGGCUUUGCCUGACAGGAUGUUUUAGGAAAACUUACCUAAGGAUUCGUCCAUGUAGUUUUCAGCAAGAACAAAAUUUUCACUUGCGCUCACCAAGGGCUUAAGUGUCUUCCCCCAGGGUGUGCUGAGGUUGAGAGAUCAACGGAGCUAUUUUCAAUUAGGACAGAAAGCACAAUUUGUUUGGCUCAACCAAAAUUGCCAGAGUGUUAUCACAAGGUGAACUCAAAGUAACUAUUAUCUGGACACCAAUUUAGCAUAUUGCUGUGCCUUUUUUUUUUUUAACUGUAUGCUGCUCUAACAAAAAGGCUUGUCUAAAGGCAUUAAAGGAUAUGAAACAAUAUUUGGUUCUGAAUUGAUAUAUCUCCCAUCAGGAGACCAAGUAAUAUCCAGAAUUAUUAAAUUAGAUAAAAACAUGCAUGAGGUUAAGUACAGCUGCUAUUAGAUUAUUGCUCUAAGAUUAUGUUUUUUUUUUUUCUGGAUAAUUCGUCCUUUGUAUCUAAAAUUUUGCUUUUUAUUUUAAUUUAGUUUUAACUUGUGUUAACCUGUAUAUUAGCAUUUAAGAUCAUCCACUGAAUUUGAAGUCACAUGUCUCCAUAUGUUAACUAAAAUAAAAGUGCUAAGAUA